rnacentral:rRNA from 1 species
UACAGAGGUCUCAAGCGUUGUUCGGAUUCAUUGGGCGUAAAGGGCUCGUAGGCGGUCCGUCACGUCGGGAGUGAAAUCCUGGGGCUUAACCCCAGAACUGCUUCCGAUACGGGCAGACUAGAGGUAGGUAGGGGAGAAUGGAAUUCCUGGUGUAGCGGUGGAAUGCGCAGAUAUCAGGAGGAACACCAGUGGCGAAGGCGGUUCUCUGGGCCUUAUCUGACGCUGAGGAGCGAAAGCGUGGGGAGCAAACAGG